AAGCCUCAAUCCUACAAAUUUAUAUAUUACACUUUAGAAUAAGAACAACAUUUUACAAAGAUUAUAUCAUGAUCAUGUAUUGUAUUUAUAUUUCACCGGCAAAAGUUUUGGGGCUGCGGGGUUCUCAGUGUUGUGAAUGAAUUGCAAGUAUGAAAAGGUGUUUCAGUUAAGGUCAGAACCCAACGGUGAUGAAGAUGCCCCCUCCAUAUUCCUCCCCAAAGGCAAAGGCGAAACUCCAAUAGUCUGAUAUGAGGAAAAUGAUGACGGAGCUGGGGCAGAAGCAGAAGCUGCAAAGGUUGAGAAAGUACUGCCAUUGCUGCUCAUGUUGAUGCUUGAGCCAAAAGCUGAGCCUUCAGUUAUUGCCUUCGGAGCGGGUGGUUUCUUAAUCUCCGUUAUUCCCUCUAGCAUUUGCACUACUUUUCCCAUCAUUGGCCUUUGAGAUGGUUGCUCUUGGAUACACCAAAAGCUCACCUGAAUUGCCCUUGUUGCUUGCUCCAUAUCCACAUCUUGAUCAUCAAGCUUUUUGUCCACAAUGGCAUUCACAUUACCCUUCUCGAACUCUUCAUAAGCCCACACAGAGAACUUUUUCCGAUUUGUUUCUUCGAAGACCUCAAAAUUCCUUCUUCCACUCACUAGCUCCAAUAAAACCAUACCAUAACUGUAAACAUCAGA
rnacentral:misc_RNA from 1 species